GCACAACGCGAAGAACCUUACCAACCCUUGACAUGUGUAUCGCGGUUCCAGAGAUGGUUCCUUCAGUUCGGCUGGAUACAACACAGGUGCUGCAUGGCUGUUGUCAGCUCGUGUCGUGAGAUGUUCGGUUAAGUCCGGCAACGAGCGCAACCCACACUUCCAGUUGCCAUCAUUCAGUUGGGCACUCUGGAAGAACUGCCGGUGAUAAGCCGGAGGAAGGUGUGGAUGACGUCAAGUCCUCAUGGCCCUUACGGGUUGGGCUACACACGUGCUACAAUGGUAGUGACAAUGGGUUAAUCCCAAAAAGCCAUCUCAGUUCGGAUUGGGGUCUGCAACUCGACCCCAUGAAGUCGGAAUCGCUAGUAAUCGCGUAACAGCAUGACGCGGUGAAUACGUUCCCGGGUCUUGUACACACCG
rnacentral:rRNA from 1 species